AUUAACCACAGCUUGGCCUCCAGCUCUCCGAAUCUAUUGGAAACAAAGGAAAAGUGAUUUUCGUUUUUGUAGGAGCAAAAUGAGGUUUUGGUUGUUGGUGGAGGUGGUUUUUCAACUCAACAAGGAAGGCAAUGCCAGCAUGUUGCAAAAUCUCAGAGCCGUCUGGUUUCCUGGACCUCGCAACAUCGGUUGAACGAGCAGCAGGUGAAGUCCUCACUCCGACCCUGCUGAUUGACUGCACUGGUUUGGUCAGGUGUGUUGACUGACCGACUAAGCUGGUUUGGUCAGGUGACUUCCCAACAUUAGAGCUCCAGUACCACAAAGCUUACAGUGACGGAUAUUGUGGGGAAAGGAAGCAUGGACGCAAAGGAAAAUUUGGGCCAGCAGAAGAAAAUGGGGUGCAGUGGCUGCCAGAAAGGCUGAUGGGACAAAUGGAACAAUCCUACCUUCAUGCUAAUUCCCUUAAUGAUGAUGAUGAUGAUGACCACGAUGACGAUGAUAGUUCCUGCACACAGUGACGUCUACUGGGCCUAUGUUCCCUGAUCAUCACUGAUACAUCCAGCUGUGUGGUUCAGACUGAAGAUUCUCAUGACCAGUAACAAUGCUUAACUUCUUGGAUCUCCCUGAAAAGGGGAGUCAACUUAUAAUAAGACCAUGACUUUCAAUGCAUUUGAUGAUGGAGCUCCAGUUUGCUUUGUGAAGAAUAGUAUGAAUGAUGGACGUGUUUCUGUGUUCACUCAAAUUUGGAAGAAAAACGUUUCACAAACUGUAACUCAAGGCACAGAGAUGGGCAUGUCUAAACAUUAUGAGGGGUCUACCCCUGAUCCUCAUGAGAUAUGACUUUGUAGGUCUGAGCCCACCAAGAAUGUGGAACUGACUUAACAACAUUGUUAAAAUGGAGAGAAUGUUAUAAUUAAUCCCCAAUGUGGUUUAAUGUUUUUCAAUAAUAUGUGAUUUGUUGAUUGGGCAGGGAAUGAGUCAAACCUUGUACAAAAGGAGAUAUCCAUAGAUCUUUGACAACUAGGUUCUGGACAUUUCCAAGGACAUAUUUGGAAGUUGGCUGCAGCUCUCUAUGAAGUUACGUUGGCAAUAGACAAA